rnacentral:lncRNA from 1 species
GUUAUGCUGUGCUUCUUAAAAUAAGCUGGAAUGCAAUGGCGCCAUCUUGGUUCACUGCAACCUCUGCCUCACGGGUUCAACUGAUUGUCCUGCCUCAGCCUCCCAGGUAGCUGGGACUACACCACACUGGGACUACACCAGCUGCCACCAUGCCUGGCUAAUUUUUUGUAUUUUUAGUAGAGACGGGGUUUCAGUAUAUUGGCCAGGAUGGUCUUCAUCUCCUCCCCUUGUGAUCCUCUUGCCUUGGCCUCCCAUAGUGCUGGGAUUACAGGCCUGAGCCAAGAUACAUAUUUGUUAAAGGA